GACGAACGCUGGCGGCGUGCUUAACACAUGCAAGUCGAACGGAAAGGCCCUGCUUUUGUGGGGUGCUCGAGUGGCGAACGGGUGAGUAACACGUGAGUAACCUGCCCUUGACUUUGGGAUAACUUCAGGAAACUGGGGCUAAUACCGGAUAGGAGCUCCUGCUGCAUGGUGGGGGUUGGAAAGUUUCGGCGGUUGGGGCUGGGCUGGGGGUUUAUCAGGUUGGUGGUGGGGUAGUGGCUUACCAAGGCUUUGACGGGUAGACGGCGUGAGAGGGUGGCCGGCCAGACUGGGACGGAGGGCAGGGGCAGACUCGUAUGGGAGGCAGCGGGGUGGGAUAGGGCACAGUGGGGGGUAGGGUGCUGCAGCGGCGCGGCUGGAGGGAUGGAGGCCUGGGGGUUGUGAGCCUCUUUCGGGAGUGAAGCAGGCCUGCCUCGUUUGUGGGGGGGUUGACGGUAGCUGGAGAAGAAGCGCCGGCUAACUACGUG
rnacentral:rRNA from 1 species